UCCUGCCGAUGUGGCAGACAAUGGCUUGGCUUUAGCUGCUGCUGCGGACGCACCAGCCUUUCAUUUCCACUGAAAACUCGCCCGAUCCACCCUAACAAACGGCUGCAAUUAACUUUUGUCCUUCUGGAGGGAUGCUGAGUUUUUGGGCUGUUUCAAGCUGGUCGUCCCUGAGGACUCGGGAGUACUGGUGACAUUCCCGGAGAAAUAAGACCGGCUGCACUGAAAAAAUAAAACCACUGAGAUGAAGUCGGCAGCUCUUUUGUUCUUCCUCUGGAUACUCUGGCUGGUUUGAUGUGCCCAGACCUUGGUGCCACGGAUCUCGCUAAGGAACUACCCACCAGCUGAAAACCCAGAGGGAAAAAGGGAGGAGAGAGAAGAAUGAGGACAGGUUAAACCCUUACAGUCAGAUGCCACCAAAGCAAUAAAACUCUGGCAGCGAAAUUGAGUAAGAGACAGCUUAGAAGUGGGAAUGCCGCAAAGAGGAGAAAGGGGUGAAGUCAGGAGGGGUCUCUAAAUCCAGUGCUUGGGGUGGAGAGCGUCCAGCUCCGCAUCCAGAGGGACGCAUUGCCAGCGCUGGACGCACUCCGGGGGCUGGGGCAGCGGGUCCCGGGCCAGGGACCCCACAAGAGGGG